rnacentral:lncRNA from 1 species
AUGACAUGGGAAGCUCUUCAUCUACACCGAGACCUCAGUGAAGCUGUUCAUUCUCACCUGUGGCUUUGCAGAGACAGAGAACUUCAGGUCACCUGGAAGAUGUGUAGAGCAGCUGUAACAAUGAGGAAAAUGAAUUUUGGAACAAAUUUAGAAAAGUCUUGUCAAAUUCACCAUAAAUUUGCAUCAUUUACCAAGAUGGGACAGCUUCCCAAAUGUGGCCCUCCAAACCACAGUGGAACUUCUUCCUGCAGUGACCUGCCAUGGUGAGAGCAGGAGCACGUUCUGUGAGAGUCCUUUCCAGGUGUCAGUGAGGCUGCAG